rnacentral:lncRNA from 1 species
GCCAGCUUUUCAAACUCUGGUCUUAUCUGCGUAAAAGCGUAUCUCUUUCAUAAAUAUAACUGAUUAAACCUUUGUAUAUAUUCACAUAGUUAGCAUUUAAGAACAAUAGGUUUAAGUGAGGAGAGUUGGAAGAGAAGAGCAUCUUUGUAUUUUCAGUGGUAUGAUCAUUGCUGUUUUCUUAGAUUAUUAACAUUUUUCUCUUCUCAGCAGAAUCUGUUUUGCAAUCAGAAGUGGAGUGGCAAGAAAGUUUAACCAGCAGUGGAGCAGCAGUUCCUGUGGAUUUCCAGCGUUUUUCUGGCUCUCCACUAAGCCGAUUAAAACUUUCUCAAUGACGCCAAAAAGGGCCCCCAUGAUUGGAUAUCCCCAAAGGAGGAGCUGAGAAUGGAGAGGAUCUAGGGGUGGGUGAGGAAUGCAAAGCAGUUUGGAGAAGCAAGGUUAAGUGUAUUCAGGCCUGGGGAAUUGAGGACAUCUGGC